CCUACGGGAGGCAGCAGUGAGGAAUAUUGGUCAAUGGGCGCGAGCCUGAACCAGCCAAGUCGCGUGAGGGAUGAAGGUUCUAUGGAUCGUAAACUUCUUUUAUAAGGGAAUAUAGUGAGGGACGUGUCCUAUUUUGUAUGUACCUUAUGACUAAGGAUCGGCUAACUCCGUGCCAUCAGCCGCGGUAAUACGGAGGAUCCGAGCGUUCUCCGGAUUUAUUGGGUUUAAAGGGUGUGUAGGUGGCCUGUUAAGUCAGUGGUGAAAGUCUGUGGCUCAACCGUAGAAUUGCAUUUGAUACUGGUGGGCUUGAGUAUGUGUGAGGCAGGCGGAAUGCGUGGUGUAGCGGUGAAAUGCUUAGAUAUCACGAAGAACUCCGAUUGCGAAGGCAGCCUGCUAAGCCGUGACUGACGGUGAUGCGCGAAAGCGUGGGGAGCAAACAGGAUUAGAUACCCUUGUAGUC
rnacentral:rRNA from 1 species